rnacentral:lncRNA from 1 species
AUGUUUUUAUUGCAAAUUUCAUUUGUGUGGAUUUUGUAAAAUUUAAAGGUCUUCGUUUGCUUGAGUAUCUUUCUUAGAUUCAUAUAUGAAAGAUCCCUCGUUUUAGAUCUGUGUUUUAGAUCGGUGAUGUUCGAUUUUCUUUGUCUUUGUUUCGUUUUAGUAAGUUUUCAAAUAUAUAUUUUAUUUUACAUGAUUGUAUUGGAAAAGAUCGAUGGAUUUGAUUUAUUUUUUAAGUUUUAUGAAAACAUUUAACAUCCUACAGUGAAAAUAAAUUCUUCUGUAUGUUGUUUAAUGUUUUCAUAAAAUCUCAAGUAAAUGAUUGAUAUCCUUCAUCAAUUUUUUUUUCCUUUUCUAUAUGGUGAUCUAGUCAUAUGUUGAAUGUUGUAUAUUUUGAUUGUAUAUUCAAAGGUGAAAUGAUAUGAAUUAUUUAAAAUUCAACAUCUUUGUUUCUUAUAAUUUUUUUUUUCAAUUUUUCUUAAAUUUUUAGUUAUUUUGUUUUUAAUUGUAUGGUUUUUCAAUUGUAUAGUAAUCAUGUCUUCCGAUGUGUUGUCGUUUGGCCUUUCUUCGAUAUGGUGAAGUGGAUUCUGUCGUGUUGGGGCCAGCCAUUCAAGUUAUUUCGCCUUACCUUCUUGUGGACUCUCUUCCUCGUGUGGUGGUCACCUCGGUUCAACUGCUCCCUCUUCUAUUUUUUCGUUGCUUCCCUGUCGGGGCCGUUGGCAUCGGCCACAGUGUGCGUGUCUGAGCUGUCUGCUAUAAAUCUCCGAAACUACAUAUCGUGUAGAGCCAAAUGAAACUGCCAUAAAUCUCCAUUUCUCUUUUCUAAUUAUUUGUAUAUAAUCUUUGUUUUGGACUCUAUCUGCUGUAAUAGCUUAUUUUUUAUCGAAACUUCUUUACUUCUUUUCGUCCGGUUAAUUGAAUUUUUCUUCCGGUUAAUGAAGUAAGAUGAGAUUUUUAUCCACUGUUUAGUCACGAACUCCAUUUCCG